UAAUAUUCCUGGACUUUUUAUAAGUGGUGAAGUGGGGACGAAGAAGGCUAGGUGAGCCAGGCGUUGGUUGUCCUGGUACUUGCAUGUAGGGGGGAAGACUUGGCAAAUCCGGUUUUCCAUAACUCUGAGGUGCGAAGUGGUUCUGACCUUUUGGUACAGAGAAGUCAUUGAUGCCCGGCUUCCAGGAAAAGCUGCUAGCCAUAACUUAUAGAGAACCGUACCGCAAACCGACACAGGUGGACAGGUAGAGAAUACUAAGGCGCUUGAGAGAACUCGGGUGAAGGAACUAGGCAAAAUGGUACCGUAACUUCGGGAGAAGGUACGCCCUUUUGGGUGAGGGCAUUUACUGUCUGAGCUUAAGAGGGCCGCAGAGACCAGGUGGCUGCGACUGUUUAUUAAAAACACAGCACUCUGCAAAUUCGUAAGAAGACGUAUAGGGUGUGACGCCUGCCCGGUGCCGGAAGGUUAAUUGAUGGGGUUAUCUUCGGAGAAGCUCUUGAUCGAAGCCCCGGUAAACGGCGGCCGUAACUAUAACGGUCCUAAGGUAGCGAAAUUCCUUGUCGGGUAAGUUCCGACCUGCACGAAUGGCGUAACGAUGGCCACACUGUCUCCACCCGAGACUCAGUGAAAUUGAAAUCGCUGUGAAGAUGCAGUGUACCCGCGGCUAGACGGAAAGACCCCGUGAACCUUUACUAUAGUUUUGCACUGGACUUUGAUGAUGACUGUGUAGGAUAGGUGGGAGGCUGUGAAGUGAGGACGCUAGUUCUCAUGGAGCCGCCCUUGAAAUACCACCCUGUUGUUAUUGAGGUUCUAACUUGGUCCAGUAAUCCUGGAUGAGGACAGUGUAUGAUGGGUAGUUUGACUGGGGCGGUCUCCUCCCAAAGAGUAACGGAGGAGCACAAAGGUACCCUCGGUACGGUCGGACAUCGUACCAAGAGUGUAAAGGCAAAAGGGUGCUUGACUGCGAGAGUGACGGCUCGAGCAGGAACGAAAGUUGGUCUUAGUGAUCCGGUGGUUCUGAAUGGAAGGGCCAUCGCUCAACGGAUAAAAGGUACUCCGGGGAUAACAGGCUGAUACCGCCCAAGAGUUCAUAUCGACGGCGGUGUUUGGCACCUCGAUGUCGGCUCAUCACAUCCUGGGGCUGAAGCAGGUCCCAAGGGUAUGGCUGUUCGCCAUUUAAAGUGGUACGCGAGCUGGGUUUAGAACGUCGUGAGACAGUUCGGUCCCUAUCUGCCGUGGGCGUAGGAAAAUUGAGAGGAGCUGCUCCUAGUACGAGAGGACCGGAGUGGACGAACCUCUGGUGCACCGGUUGUCACGCCAGUGGCAUGGCCGGGUAGCUAAGUUCGGACGGGAUAACCGCUGAAAGCAUCUAAGCGGGAAGCCUCCCUCAAGAUGAGUUUUCCCAUGAAGCCCGUUGAAGACUACGACGUUGAUAGGCAAGGUGUGGAAGCGCAGUAAUGCGUGAAGCUAACUUGUACUAAUUGGCUGAUUGUCUUGACCAU
rnacentral:rRNA from 1 species